GCGGCUCAGCUGGUAGAGCAUGAGACUCUUGAUUUUAGGGUCGUGGGUUCAAGUCCCACGCUGGGCA